AUGGGUUUUAUCAAAACAAAAUUAAAAGAAAAAAAACGUUUUAUAUUACAUAUUGUAGCAUUUCUUUUAUUCUGUGAAAGAAGAACAUCCAUUCUCUCUUCUUUUUACUAUUAUCAUAACACUCUUCACAUCUCCCUGUUACCUUCUAUAAAUGUCGAGAGAGAAGAACAAGUGGGGCGGAGAGAAAGAUGA